rnacentral:rRNA from 1 species
GACGGAGGAUGCAAGUGUUAUCCGGAAUCACUGGGCGUAAAGCGUCUGUAGGUGGUUUAAUAAGUCAACUGUUAAAUCUUGAGGCUCAACCUCAAAAUCGCAGUCGAAACUAUUAGGCUAGAGUAUAGUAGGGGUAAAGGGAAUUUCCAGUGGAGCGGUGAAAUGCGUAGAUAUCAAGAGGAACACCUGAGGUGAAGACGGGUUGCUGGGCUGACACUGACGCUGAUGCGCGAAAGCCAGGGGAGCAAACGGG